rnacentral:misc_RNA from 1 species
UGUCGUAACAAGGUAGCCGUAUCGGAAGGUGCGGCUGGAUCACCUCCUUUCUAAGGAUAUUAUACGGAAUAUAAGACCUUAGGUCUUAUAAACAGAACGUUCCCUGUCUUGUUUAGUUUUGAAGGAUCAUUCCUUCGAAACGUGUUCUUUGAAAACUAGAUAACAGUAGACAUCACAUUCAAUUAGUAACACAAGAUAUCACAUAGUG